AUGACAGAGAACUUUACAAAGGACUCUUGCUCUGCCUGGCCUCAUCUAGUUACUGGCUCUUCUAGAAGCGAAUGGCCUCCUGGGCUUCCAAUGAACCAUAAGAGUUUUGAGAACCUGAACAGGACCUGCUUAGCCAUUUUCAGAUUUAAUUGUGCCCGUUUGAAUGGUGGUCUUCACCAUUUCACUCAAAGUGCCUCAUCCGAUGCCUCUGAUGGGCUGAAAACUGUCAGAAGCCCAACCUACAAUGGAGCCCAGGUAAUGCUGUCCACAGGGGUCAACCUGAAGAGGAGGUGAAGAAGGGCUGAGAGUGGACCAGGGAAGGGUUGGGCAGGCUGACUGUGACCAGCACACUGAGGGUUCUUCUGCUGGGAUCAGGAAGUUGCCACUGCCCUCACCACACCUUGAUGUACAAGAGCCAAGGUUAGGAUGUCCCAGUUCAAUGCCUGUGGCUGCAUCUGGAGUUCCAGAAGAUUGGAAUCUCCUAUCUGGCAAGCUUCCAAGAGAAGCAGGCUGUAGAUACUAAUCUGGGUCCCUCUUAGGUGGGCAGGGCCUCGGCCUGAACUGAGCUCCAGAGAAGGCUUGCCCUGGCCAUGCAUCUCUGCCUGGAUGUCUUGGAGCCUGAGAAGUUGCUGGACUGCCUGUGAUUGUGCAUGGUAGUAGUGUUUUGUUUUUGUUUUUUUUUGAAGGCAGAGUCUCACUCUGUUGCCCAGGUUGGAUUGCAGUGCAGUGGUGUAAUGAUAGCUCACUAGCCUCAAACUCCUGGGCUCGAGCCAGCCUCCUGCCUCAGCCUCCUGAGUUGCUGGGACUAUACGUGCACAUUCUUACACUUGGCUUAUUUUACAAUUUUUAUGUUUGCAGAGAGGGGUCUGGCAUGUUGCCCAGGCUGGUCUCGAACUCUUGACCUCAAGUGACUCUCCCACCUCAGCCUCCCAAAGCACUGGGAUUACAGGCGUGAGCCACGGCAUCUAACCUUCACUGGGUUGUGUGACUGAUGCUGUCCUGCCCUUCUAGAAUGUGUGGACCACAUGUUGGCGAGGGCAUCCUCAAGCCCAAUCCAGAAGACGUUGGGAUGAAAAAAAGGUCUCCACCCCAGGGCAGUGUCUGUGUUAAGCCCACUUGGAAGGGUGAGGAAGAACAUCCUGGAGUUCCUGAGGUCAUGUGAACUUCAACAGCAUGAACUUUAAGGAACAGCUCAUGCCUUUGCAAUGUGCAGCAGAAAGUAUUAUGAACCUCAUGCCACCCAGAGCUCUUGGCUUCUCAUUUCUCCCAGGUAGUUGGUCACCAUCUCCUAUCCACCUCUUCCAGGUCUGCCCCUACACACCCAACAAUGGGAACAAUUGCUGUAAUUGCAUCUUACUGAUGCCUUACACCUCAGUAAUUGAUCUAGUCGGGGUGGGGUGGCCCCGGAAGAGGGUUCCUUAACCUGGAGAAGAGUGUGGUCUCAGUGCCCAUCAGAUAGAGGCUAAAAAGGCAGCUGAGCUUUCACUUGCUAUUGACAUUGGCACAGUGACCUAACUCUUUUGUCCUUUAACUCCUGGCAUGGGUACAAAUAACAUUAGUAACUGCUUCAUAGAGCUGUCAUGGGGCAUAAAUUAAAUGAUGGUUAUACGUUCAUGACAACAGCCUGCCCUGGUUCUCAUCUGUAAAAUAGGAAGAAUAAUCUCUCCUUCUCCAUGGGACCUCAUCAGAGUUAAAUUAGUAGAUGUCUAUAAAAUAUCCGGCAUACAGAAAACACUCAAAACAUGCUAGGUCUUAUGGCUGUAUACAGAUGUAACCUCUAGUCUCCAUUUGUGACUUCUCUGUUCAGCAACAAAAUCACAAACCAACAGCACUGCUCAUGUUAGAGAAUUCUGUCGAGAACAGAAGUCUCCUGGGGCUGAUUCCUCCAGUCCUCCUGCCCGGGCAGGCUGGGAUCCAUUUCAUCUUUUUGUUGCCAUGUUUCCUCUCUUGAGAUGAUCCAACCGUUUGAACACGAAACCAAAAGCAAAAUAAGCUGCUACACAUGGCAGGGAAUCUUAGGAAAACCAUAGGAGAGAUGAUUUUCACAGACUGGAGGAGGGCAACAUUCCUUUGGUGCUUCUUUGCUUUGCCCGGGCGGUACAAGGAGCCUAGAGGAGACUUCCCAGGGCUGACUGUCUAGCCACUGUGAACUCAAGGGCCUUGGGAAUGAAUACAAGUCUUUAUUUCUGCCCCCCCAGCACGGAGACCAUUCCUAUAAGCCAAAACAGAGGCUCCACCCCUCUCCUGGGGAGAAAGGGCCUAGCCUGGAGGAACAGUUUUCCCUAAACUCACGCAUUUCAUAGCCCGCCUUAUAAAGUGUAAAGAGUAUUUCUUUUCAAUGCUGUAGCUAAAUAUAGCAGGGCUUGGUCAGCUAGAACAUUUUUAGAAAGCACAUUACAAAUCAGGAAUGUUUUGGAGAAAUAAAUAAACUUUCCCACAUUUUUGGACUUUGAGUCGGUCCUGCAGCUUCCAUCUUGAGGGCAUGACUGGUGGGGAAAUGAUGAAUAAUUCAUCAAUGGCGCUGCCCAGGGCUCUUUUUGGAACCCUGAGUGUACUGGAUAUUCUGCAUUGACUGAAGUUGUGGGACAAGGAUGUACGUGCAGGGAGACACUCUCGGAGGAGGGCAGCCCCCUGUCUCCAUAAGGGCCACUCAGUGGCACAAGGAAGAGAAGCAAAUGUAUCUCCAAUGUGUUGCAUUUCUGACCCAGCCAUUUUGGGAGGUGUUCACUGAAGUAUCUGAAUGUGAUGAGAAGAAACCCAUAAGGCUGUGGUUCCCACCUGCUCUGCACCAAGGAUGACCUGGGAGUUUUGGAUUUGUGCAGCACCUGUGUCCUGACCUCAGACCAUGGUUCACUUGGCCUCUGGUGAAACCAGACAGGUGUAUUUUUAUAAGUUCCUCAGGCAAUUCUAUUGAUUCUGCAACCAGAGCUGACAGCCCCUGCAGUGAGGUAUAGAUGCCACUGGGUGCAUUUGUAGGGGUGGAGAGAAGACAUACUCAGCAUUAGCUAUCAUUUCUUUCUUUUCAUCUAUGCAUAUUUAUAUACAAGUUUUGUUUGUUCAGAGUAGACUCUCACCAUCUCUCUAUGACCUCAACUACCCUUUCCCUUUAUUCUGCGUAGAUUUGUCUUUCAAUAAAAUACCACUUAGAAGUUAUAUGUGUUCAUACAGGAAAUGCGUAAUAUUCAGAAAA
rnacentral:lncRNA from 1 species